rnacentral:lncRNA from 1 species
UUCAAGCUUCGGGUUCUUCACAAUAGGGACUUGAAAAUGGUUAUUCAAUAACCAGUGAGAUAUAAAUCUCAGUGAGUUCUUACCCUAAUCCCCUGAUUAGUACACCAACUCAACUCGAGGUAUCUUUUCAAAACCAUCCCACAACAAACCAAAGAUUAACAAUCAACAAUCAAUAGUCGAUUCGCAUACAUCCUUACUUGAUAUGCCAUACCCUGCACGUCAUAACUCAGCACAAUACACACAAUGCACAUGGCCAUUAGAUGAUGUAGUUCAUCAAUCACAUACAAAUCACGUUACAAGAGAUCUCACCUGCCCAUUGCCACACGAACACAUUGUCUGGGGUAGAGGUGCGGACGCACCACCAUCCCUCAUCCCAGCCCAGUAUUGUCCUCUUUGGCCCAGCCCAGUAUUGUCCUCUUUGGGCCACACACUAGCACGGACGAAUCGCCAUCCCAGUCGAGCCACCUCUCAAGGCUUUGUUCUCAACACAACGGAAGCAUACGUGAAAUGCGUUAGUGGUUCAUG